UGACCUGCGGAAGGAUCAUUACCGAGUGCGGGUCCUUUGGGCCCAACCUCCCAUCCGUGUCUAUUAUACCCUGUUGCUUCGGCGGGCCCGCCGCUUGUCGGCCGCCGGGGGGGCGCCUUUGCCCCCCGGGCCCGUGCCCGCCGGAGACCCCAACACGAACACUGUCUGAAAGCGUGCAGUCUGAGUUGAUUGAAUGCAAUCAGUUAAAACUUUCAACAAUGGAUCUCUUGGUUCCGGCAUCGAUGAAGAACGCAGCGAAAUGCGAUAACUAAUGUGAAUUGCAGAAUUCAGUGAAUCAUCGAGUCUUUGAACGCACAUUGCGCCCCCUGGUAUUCCGGGGGGCAUGCCUGUCCGAGCGUCAUUGCUGCCCUCAAGCCCGGCUUGUGUGUUGGGUCGCCGUCCCCCUCUCCGGGGGGACGGGCCCGAAAGGCAGCGGCGGCACCGCGUCCGAUCCUCGAGCGUAUGGGGCUUUGUCACAUGCUCUGUAGGAUUGGCCGGCGCCUGCCGACGUUUUCCAACCAUUUUUUCCAGGUUGACCUCGGAUCAGGUAGGGAUACCCGCUGAACUUAAGCAUAUCAAUAAGCGGAGGAAAAGAAACCAACCGGGAUUGCCUCAGUAACGGCGAGUGAAGCGGCAAGAGCUCAAAUUUGAAAGCUGGCUCCUUCGGAGUCCGCAUUGUAAUUUGCAGAGGAUGCUUUGGGUGCGGCCCCCGUCUAAGUGCCCUGGAACGGGCCGUCAGAGAGGGUGAGAAUCCCGUCUUGGGCGGGGUGUCCGUGCCCGUGUAAAGCUCCUUCGACGAGUCGAGUUGUUUGGGAAUGCAGCUCUAAAUGGGUGGUAAAUUUCAUCUAAAGCUAAAUACUGGCCGGAGACCGAUAGCGCACAAGUAGAGUGAUCGAAAGAUGAAAAGCACUUUGAAAAGAGAGUUAAACAGCACGUGAAAUUGUUGAAAGGGAAGCGCUUGCGACCAGACUCGCCCGCGGGGUUCAGCCGGCAUUCGUGCCGGUGUACUUCCCCGUGGGCGGGCCAGCGUCGGUUUGGGCGGCCGGUCAAAGGCCCCUGGAAUGUAGUACCCUCCGGGGUACCUUAUAGCCAGGGGUGCAAUGCGGCCAGCCUGGACCGAGGAACGCGCUUCGGCACGA
rnacentral:rRNA from 1 species